UUUUCUCUCCUACCAAUUUAGUCUUCUGAAUACAAGCAAUAUUCACUCUUCUCCUUAGGAGAAUAUAACUAAUGACUAUGAAGAUGACCCAGACAAGGUAAAUAAUCAAUCAUAAGAAGGGUUCAUCAAGUCUUAAGCCAAAUCUAUCCCAAGUUUAAAAGACCUUAAAAGGUCUUAUAUGUACCAUAAAUGAACAGCUUCCUCAGUGUUCUAAAUUACCAGAAGAAGAAGAAAUGGAUAUUCAAGGGUCAAUCUUUAAAAAACCCCUUUUAAUCUGUUAGAAGCAAUAGUGAUAUCAAUUAAAUAAACCA
rnacentral:misc_RNA from 1 species